rnacentral:rRNA from 1 species
GACGAACGCUGGCGGCGUGCUUAACACAUGCAAGUCGAACGGAAAGGCCCUGCUUUUGUGGGGUGCUCGAGUGGCGAACGGGUGAGUAACACGUGAGUAACCUGCCCUUGACUUUGGGAUAACUUCAGGAAACUGGGGCUAAUACCGGAUAGGAGCUCCUGCUGCAUGGUGGGGGUUGGAAAGUUUCGGUGGUUGGGGAUGGACUCGCGGCUUAUCAGCUUGUUGGUGGGGUAGUGGCUUACCAAGGCUUUGACGGGUAGUCGGCCUGAGAGGGUGACCGGCCACAUUGGGACUGAGAUACGGCCCAGACUCCUACGGGAGGCAGCAGUGGGGAAUAUUGCACAAUGGGCGGAAGCCUGAUGCAGCAACGCCGCGUGCGGGAUGACGGCCUUCGGGUUGUAAACCGCUUUCGCCUAUGACGAAGCGUGAGUGACGGUAAUGGGUAAAGAAGCACCGGCUAACUACGUG